rnacentral:rRNA from 1 species
UACGUAGGGGGCAAGCGUUGUCCGGAAUCAUUGGGCGUAAAGAGCGUGUAGGCGGCCCGGUAAGUCCGCUGUGAAAGUCCAGGGCUCAACCCUGGGAUGCCGGUGGAUACUGUCGGGCUCGAGUCCGGAAGAGGAGUGUGGAAUUCUCGGUGUAGCGGUGAAAUGCGUAGAUAUCGAGAGGAACACCUGCGGCGAAGGCGGGUUGCUGGGCUGAUACUGACGCUGAGGCGCGAAAGCCAGGGGAGCGAACGGG